UACGUAGGGUGCGAGCGUUUGUCCGGAAUUAUUGGGCGUAAAGAGCUUGUAGGCGGUUUGUCGCGUCUGCCGUGAAAAUCCGGGGCUCAACCCCGGACUUGCGGUGGGUACGGGCAGACUAGAGUGUGGUAGGGGAGACUGGAAUUCCUGGUGUAGCGGUGAAAUGCGCAGAUAUCAGGAGGAACACCGAUGGCGAAGGCAGGUCUCUGGGCCACUACUGACGUGAGGAGCGAAAGCGUGGGGAGCGAACAGG
rnacentral:rRNA from 1 species